UCAGUCCCACUUGCCUGCCCAGUGCCCGGCGCACUUCCUCAGGGGCACACAGCCCGGGUCUUCUCAAGUCAUGUUCGAUAUCUAGUUAAGGGGUACAUUUAUCUCCAGUGUUCCCCGGGACCUUCCCUUUUGAUUUUCAAGAACAUUUUCUUCCCUCUGCCAGAGCAGUCCUUUCGAAUCAAAGGCUCGGCUUUUCCAAAGCGUAGUUUCUGAUGUGGGCUUCAGUGGACUGGCUGCGAAGUUCCUGAGACAAUGAGAGGGGAUGCUGGCUGUCUCUUUCUCUUUAUCUUCUCGCAGUAAAGCUCCAGUUCUCCUUGAGGUGACCCUUCACUUGUUGUGUGAAGUCAACAAAACUGACCAGCACACCAUCUGAAUGCUACAGCGGGAUGGAGAUGGGAGGCGAAGCCUUGGAAGCUGGAGGGUGAAUAGCUGGUGUGCACAACCCCCUAGCAACGGGCAAACAAGGCAGGAGGAGUGUGGAAUGGGAGUCAGUGCUUAAUGGGCACUAAGUUUCCAUUUGGUUGUAGAGACGAUGGUGCUGAUGGCUAUAAGGCGUCUUGAAAGUGCUGAAUGCCACCAAACUGCACAAUUGAAACAGUUAAGAUGGUGAAUGUUGUGUGUGUUUUCCUGCCGCUGAAUACUGUAUUUUUUUUUUCUGGUAUGUUUUAUUCUUGUGUAAUCAGCUUUGUGGUUUUUUUUCCCCUUCCAGAUUAACUCGAGAAUCAACUUGUCACAUUCUAUUAAAAGUCCCUUUGAUAUUUUUACUGCAGUUACAUCAAGUUUAUGGAUUGCCUUGGGGAGAAGUGACAUUUUUAUGGUCCUGAUCUUUCCCCCAGGUGGAGGCCUCCUCAUUGACUGGGAUCUCUUUAUGUCUCUCAGUAAAGUUGUAUAAUUCC
rnacentral:lncRNA from 1 species